AAACAUAUUUCUAAUUCUUAGAAGGAGGGGGAGUGUAUGUAUUUAACCUGGAAGAAUGAACCGCAACAUCUUUACAGUGGUGAGUUUGGGGAGGUGUUUUUGGAAAUCUCCGGACCAUUAGGAGACGUUGACUUGUUGAAGACGGAUGGAAAGCCGAGAGCCUGCCCACCGCCGGGCCACCAGCCAGCACCAAGGGGACGCGAAAGAGGAAGUCCUCCUCUCAGCCAAGACCCAGAAGCCCUAAGAAGUGUCCGAAAAUAGCGAAGAAGGGAAAAGCAACUCGUCGAGGGAGAGCCAGGAAGAAAAGUGCUCCAAAAAAGACCGCGGCUGUAAGAACACCUGAGGAAGGGAGCGGGCCAGCACCAUCCGGCCCCAGUGUCCCGCUGAACCAGGAGCUCCCUCAGCAUGAGCUGCGGCCGGAGCCACCGAGUGAGGGGACCCAGCCAGAGGAAAAACUGAGUAAGGGGACCUAGCUGGAAGAGCAAGUGAAUGAGGGGACCCAGCCCGACCCACUGAGUGAGGGGACGCAGGCGGAGGAACAGAGUGAGGGGACACAGCCAGACCCACUGAGUGAGGGGACACAGCCGGACCCACUGAGUGAGGGGACACAGCCGGACCCACUGAGUGAGGGGACUGCAACCAACUCCAUUCUCUCCCUGAGCAGCGAGUAACUUCAGGCCCAGCCCGGAGACCUAGGAGCCACCGGAGGUCUGACCCAGAGAACUCACCAACAGGGUGCGCCCCAUGGUGAAAAUAAAAUGAAUCUGUUAGAGAGAGAGAGACAGAGAACUCCCUCCACUUUUUUUCCCCAAGUCACCACCACUUCUGACACUAUCUUUUUCUCUAGCGUUCUGCUGUUGUGGUCCCUGGCGCAUGCUUGUUUCACAAAACGCCAAGAGUAGAUCAGUGGAUGUCAUUGGGAAAAAAAACAAAAAAAUAAAAAAACAGAAA
rnacentral:lncRNA from 1 species